AUGGAGCUAUAUACAGGGAGUACCAGUACCAGAUCAAUGUGGAACUGUAUACGGGGAGUACCAGUACCAGAUCAAUGUGGAACUGUAUACGGGGAGUACCAGUACCAGAUCAAUGUGGAGCUAUAUACAGGGAGUAUCAGUACCAGAUCAAUGUGGAGCUAUAUACAGGGAGUACCAGUACCAGAUCAAUGUGGAACUGUAUACGGGGAGUACCAGUACCAGAUCAAUGUGGAACUGUAUACGGGGAGUACCAGUACCAGAUCAAUGUGGAACUGUAUACGGGGAGUACCAGUACCAGAUCAAUGUGGAACUGUAUACGGGGAGUACCAGUACCAGAUCAAUGUGGAGCUAUAUACAGGGAGUACCAGUACCAGAUCAAUGUGGAACUGUAUACGGGGAGUACCAGUACCAGAUCAAUGUGGAACUGUAUACGGGGAGUACCAGUACCAGAUCAAUGUGGAACUGUAUACGGGGAGUACCAGUACCAGAUCAAUGUGGAACUGUAUACGGGGAGUACCAGUACCAGAUCAAUGUGGAACUGUAUACGGGGAGUACCAGUACCAGAUCAAUGUGGAACUGUAUACAGGGAGUAUCAGUACCAGAUCAAUGUGGAGCUAUAUACAGGGAGUACCAGUACCAGAUCAAUGUGGAGCUAUAUACAGGGAGUAUCAGUACCAGAUCAAUGUGGAGCUAUAUACAGGGAGUAUCAGUACCAGAUCAAUGUGGAGCUAUAUACAGGGAGUACCAGUACCAGAUCAAUGUGGAGCUAUAUACAGGGAGUACCAGUACCAGAUCAAUGUGGAGCUAUAUACAGGGAGUAUCAGUACCAGAUCAAUGUGGAGCUAUAUACAGGGAGUACCAGUACCAGAUCAAUGUGGAGCUAUAUACAGGGAGUACCAGUACCAGAUCAAUGUGGAGCUAUAUACAGGGAGUACCAGAUCAAUGUGGAGCUAUAUACAGGGAGUACCAGAUCAAUGUGGAGCUAUAUACAGGGAGUACCAGUACCAGAUCAAUGUGCAGAGGUACGGGUUACUUGAUGCACAUAUGUAA
rnacentral:lncRNA from 1 species